rnacentral:rRNA from 1 species
GUUAUUUCUUUUGAGAGCUCCUAUCGAAAAAGAAGUUUGCGACCUCGAUGUUGAAUUAAAAUAUCUAAAUAAUGCAGCAGUUAUUUAAGAAG